GCUCUUCCCAUUCGGCGGCCGGACGCCUAUAUUCAAUCCGUCUCCGCAAGGAGACUAUGGUGAUAAACGGACAUCGUAAUAAGCCAUCCGGACCCGGGGGCGGUACCCGGCGCCUCCACCCAAAACCAUCCGCGCGGUGGUUUUCGGCGGGGGCGAAAUAGGUUCGACGGGGGUGUAAAAGGUGCUCUUUUGCCCGGCAUGAUACCGCCGUUAUCGGGUCAAACUUAUAGUUGCCAAUGACAACUAUGCUCCGGUGGCCGUCGCCGCGUAAUGCGGUGCCGAUACUGGUACCAAGCCCUGUAGGGUAGCACUUACAGGCGGGGCUCGGAGGCGCCUGGCAACAGAAGCCUCCACU
rnacentral:tmRNA from 1 species